AACGCGAAGAACCUUACCAAGGCUUGACAUACACCGGAAACACCCAGAGAUGGGUGCCCCCUUGUGGUCGGUGUACAGGUGGUGCAUGGCUGUCGUCAGCUCGUGUCGUGAGAUGUUGGGUUAAGUCCCGCAACGAGCGCAACCCUUGCCCCAUGUUGCCAGCGGGUUAUGCCGGGGACUCGUGGGGGACUGCCGGGGUCAACUCGGAGGAAGGUGGGGAUGACGUCAAGUCAUCAUGCCCCUUAUGCCCAGGGCUUCACACAUGCUACAAUGGCUGGUACAGAGGGCUGCGAGAUCGUGAGGUUGAGCGAAUCCCUUAAAGCCGGUCUCAGUUCGGAUCGGGGUCUGCAACUCGACCCCGUGAAGUCGGAGUCGCUAGUAAUCGCAGAUCAGCAUUGCUGCGGUGAAUACGUUCCCGGGCCUUGUACACACCG
rnacentral:rRNA from 1 species